UUUCGGAAUAGUUAGCCCCUCUUAACGUGGAGGGCAGGAAGGGGAAGCCACAUACCAGUUGUCCACCAGGCAACUGGUGCCCAAGGAACUGAAGCCCAAGAGCCACGUGAGCAUCAGGCACUGUGUGUGAUACCCACACAGUGAGGAACAGAAGCCCAAGAGCCACGUAAGCAAGACAUCUUGGAAAUGGCUCCUCUAGCCUUGUCAAGCUUCAAGAUGGUACAGUCCUGGCUAACAGCUUGACUGCAACCUUCUGAGAUCUCAAGACAGAACCACCCAGUUAAGCAGCUCCUAGAUUCCUGAUCCAGAACUGUGGAAGGUAAUACUUGUUUGUUGUUUUAAACUACAGUAAUAACUGAGACACACUAGACAAGGAUCACUCAUUGCUUCUUAAAUGAAAAAAGCAAAAAUCUAAUUAUAACAAUUUUGACUAGAAAUAUUAAAUACUGAAUUCUGUUAAAGAAAAAAUCUUAAAUUCAUGUUUGAUAAAAAGCUUAAAAGCCAAUUCCCAACUCAUUGAACUACCGUACUCCUUCCUUACAAGGAAGAAAAACAAAACACCUGAAUAUGUUGUCUGUAGCCAAUAAACAUUACUAACUAGAUUGCAGCCUAAAGUGUCAAGUAUUUCUAAUAAUUACAUUAAAAAUACAGCAGCAAGACAGUUCCUUGGAUCUUACUUUUUCCCUCUCAUUGGAACUGAAUUGUAGAUAUUGGGCACUGUACCUAGCAAGUCACAGAAGAUCUGAAUUAGGAUGCCUUAAUUACACUUGGCCUAUUUUAAUGAUUUUAAAAUUAGAUCUUAAAUGUGAAAGUAAAUAAAAGCAGUAAGGGAAACACUACACAAUGAGUAUGUACGGUUGCUGGCUGCAGAAUUCAACAAUACAGUUUUGACAUUUACAGAUAUCACAGAUCACUACCAGAACAUCACAUAAGUUUAUUUCAGAUGUAACAGCAAUGUUAAAAUUGACAAGUUUAAUUCUUAACUGCACCAAGUAAACUUAG
rnacentral:lncRNA from 10 species